rnacentral:lncRNA from 1 species
CAGUGAUUCAGCUAAGAGCUGUGGAUGAAGAAUAGCCCUCUUUAUAUUUCUUCACGUUUUUUGGCUCCCUGCUGGAUUUUCAGAGUGAAGUCAGAUGCAGUUUUCUGUGGGGCUGAAAUUUCACCAGGGGUAAGUUCAUUCAGAUUCUGGGUCAUUUACACUUCAAGCCUGCAAUUUGAUCUGAUUAUCACUGGCUGGGAAAAAAAAAUAAGAGUUCUAUUAUGUGGGUUGAACUGAUUAACCCAUCCCAAGGUCUGGAGUAAAAGAGGGAGAAAUUGAGAAUUCA